rnacentral:pre_miRNA from 1 species
AAAAAGACAAACCCUGUUUCCGUGCCUAACGUUUGACUGUCCGUCUUAUUUAAAAGAAUUAUAAAAAAAAUAAAAAGACAAGUCACGCAUAAAAUUUUAAUCAUGUUUUAUCAUCUAACAACAAUAAAAAUAUGAAUUAUAAAAAAAAUUUAUAUAAGACGGACAGUCAAAGUUAGACACGGAAAUUCAGGGUUUGCUUUAUU